rnacentral:rRNA from 1 species
AGCAGUAGCCACGGUAAUACAGAGGGUGCGAGCGUUAAUCGGAUUUACUGGGCGUAAAGCGUGCGUAGGCGGCUAAUUGAGUCGGAUGUGAAAUCCCCGAGCUUAACUUGGGAAUUGCAUUCGAUACUGGUUAGCUAGAGUGUGGGAGAGGAUGGUAGAAUUCCAGGUGUAGCGGUGAAAUGCGUAGAGAUCUGGAGGAAUACCGAUGGCGAAGGCAGCCAUCUGGCCUAACACUGACGCUGAGGUACGAAAGCAUGGAGCAAACAGGAUUAGAUACUCCCGUAGUCCCUGUCUCUUAUACAC